rnacentral:rRNA from 1 species
UCCAGACUCCUACGGGAGGCAGCAGUGGGGGAUAUUGCACAAUGGGGGGAACCCUGAUGCAGCGACGCCGCGUGGGUGAAGGAGCGUUUCGGCGCGUAAAGCCCUAUCGGCAGGGAAGAAGGAGGACGGUACCUGACUAAGAAGCCCCGGCUAACUACGUGCCAGCAGCCGCGGUAAUACGUAGGGGGCAAGCGUUAUCCGGAUUUACUGGGUGUAAAGGGGGCGCAGACGGCAGCGCAAGCCAGGAGUGAAAGCCCGGGGCCCAACCCCGGGACUGCUCUUGGAACUGCGCGGCUGGAGUGCAGGAGGGGCAGGCGGAAUUCCUGGUGUAGCGGUGAAAUGCGUAGAUAUCAGGAGGAACACCGGUGGCGAAGGCGGCCUGCUGGACUGCGACUGACGUUGGGGCCCGAAAGCGUGGGGAGCAAACAGGAUUAGAUACCCUCGUA